rnacentral:rRNA from 1 species
AACGAACGCUGGCGGCAUGCCUAACACAUGCAAGUCGAACGAGACCUUCGGGUCUAGUGGCGCACGGGUGCGUAACGCGUGGGAACCUGCCCUUAGGUUCGGAAUAACUCCCCGAAAGGGGUGCUAAUACCGGAUAAUGUCUUCGAACCAAAGAUUUAUCGCCUUUGGAUGGGCCCGCGUUGGAUUAGCUAGUUGGUAGGGUAAAAGCCUACCAAGGCGACGAUCCAUAGCUGGUCUGAGAGGAUGAUCAGCCACACUGGGACUGAGACACGGCCCAGACUCCUACGGGAGGCAGCAGUGGGGAGUAUUGGACAAUGGGCGAAAGCCUGAUCCAGCAAUGCCGCGUGAGUGAUGAAGGCCUUAGGGUUGUAAAGCUCUUUUACCCGGGAUGAUAAUGACAGUACCGGGAGAAUAAGCUCCGGCUAACUCCGUG